rnacentral:rRNA from 1 species
AUUGAACGCUGGCGGCAGGCCUAACACAUGCAAGUCGAACGAGUGGCGGACGGGUGAGUAAUGUCUGGGAAACUGCCUGAUGGAGGGGGAUAACUACUGGAAACGGUAGCUAAUACCGCAUACCAUCGGAUGUGCCCAGAUGGGAUUGGCUAGUAGGGGGGGUAAAGGCUCACCUAGGCGACGAUCCCUAGCUGGUCUGAGAGGAUGACCAGCCAAACUGGAAGUGAGACAGGGUCCAGACUCCUACGGGAGGCAGCAGUGGGGAAUAUUGCACAAUGGGCGCAAGCCGGAUGCAGCCAUGCCGCGUGUAUGAAGAAGGCCUUAGGGUUGGAAAGUACUUUCAGCGGGGAGGCGUUACCCGAAGAAGAAGCACCGGCUAACUCCGUGCCAGCAGCCGCGGUAAUUC